AAUUCUGGCACGGCAGCUCCGCCGUGCUCCAGCAACAGCAUCGCCACCCGUGGCGGUGAUCCGCCUCCAAUUGGCUGUUUUCAGCCGUUUCCAGUCGAAUUCAGCCAAAUUAGCACCAGUUUCUGCGAGAAAACACACAUAAGGCCCUCGGUGGGCCGAAAAAAUACAGAAAAUCGAGACUUACCGGCAGCGGGGCUCUCCAGUGCGGUGGCUCUUCCGGCUCGAGUCGCGAUUUGGUGUUUUGCUCUGGUCAACCUGUAGAGGAAGGAACGGUUAUCAUAAUGGUGAAAAAAUUACAUCGAACGGGAAUCGGGAAGGGCCUCAUCGAAGGCAAAAAUCGAGAAAAACUGCAGCGGCGCCGCUUGGCUUCGGCGGUGUUUUUCAGUCAAUUAGCCAUUGUUUUUCUGAUUUGGCCACAUGUGGGUUUAGAAUCAAAUUUCGAGCUAAGGAGAGAAUUUUUACCUCGUUUGGCGGUUGGAAAGUGCUC
rnacentral:lncRNA from 1 species